GUAAAUUACUUUCUUUGUACGCGGACGUGUCGCGUCUGUCGCGGCUUUAUUGCCCCGGCGCGAGAGUGUAUAUAAAAGUGCAUAUCCCUACGAAUGGAUUUUACAACUUCAAAAAAGGAUAUCCACCCGGGCCCAUUUAUGACCAGACGAAAGCCCAGAAACCGACUUGGCCCUUGGGGGAGUUGCGAUGAUGCCAAGAACCAUGAAAUGUGAAUGAGAAGCUUGAAUAUGCAUUAUUCCUUCUACUGGCCGGCUAUCAACUGGCAAUCAGAAGUUGGCCGAGUGGAAAAAUCAAAUGUGUGAAGUGGC